CUCAUCUGUUUCCCCAACAGAAGGCGGAGACAUUGAUGGUUAGAUAAAUGUACAUAAAUUUCUGACUCUAAGAGAAUGAAUAUCUUAUUUAAUAUUGCGCUGCUAAUCACUGGCCAAUGGCAUGAGGUGGUCAUAUAUAAGUAGUAGCUGCUGUCUGAGCAUGUUGCGGUCAUCGGUCACCUGACUUCUCUAGCUGUUACAUAAGCCUCCCCUCCGUCCAUUAGGUUGUAGCUGCAGAAGCCUCCUAUUGCUGCUUGUCUGAGCUACAAAAAGUGUUGCUGCUUUUUCUUCUUCUUUGAUUUGUUUUGGGUUUCGUAGCUUUACUUGUUUUUGAGACGGGAGUGUCCAAUCCAGUAACAGGCUGGGCACUAAAGCUUCCGACUCCCAGUUCUUUUCUUUUUUUGUUUUGUUUUAUUUUUCUUUUAUUUUUUGUCGUCACUCCACCAAAGUCCACAUAAAAAAAAGGAAAAAAAGGGUUACAUCAGUCAACAGGACGAUGGAGGAAGCAUCUCUACUACGUCUAAACUGAAGCAGCCUACAGGUCACAUGACCAUCCAGCAUGUUUCCAGGUCUGAUGAAGGCCUCUACAAGUGUGACAUCAGCGGUCAUGGAGAGUCUCCAUCCAGCUGGAUCACUGUCACAGGGGAACACACCACCACACCUCCACCUGCAUUUUCUGCUGGUUCGUCCCUUCUCCCUGUGUUGCUGACAGCUCAAUCAGCCUGUGUUGUAGUUAUACUGGAGUUACUGGUUCUUUUGCUGGAAUGAAACGUUCAAAGGAAACUCAAAGGUGAGACUCACAUUCCUGGGUUUUUCUUUCAGGCUUCUUUCAAUGAGCAGAGUUUCUACUUAAUAUGUUUGUGGUGGAUCAUAAAUUUGAUUAGUUUUGGAGUUGUACAUCUCUGUUCCUUAUAUUUCAUGUCAUGCUUUUAUUAUUGUUUUAUUUGUUGUUUUGACUGUUUUGCUCUAUAGAAUAUACAGUGGGAAGGUAGAGGGAGAUAAGUAGUGAAAGUUUUGCCUGGGUUGAUUGUGCGUCAAUCCAUUGGUAAUGCCUCAGGACUCCAGUAGGUGGAUUCACGCAUCUUCUCCUUCACUCAAUACAGACGAGUGAGAGCGAGAGCUGCGUGUCCGUUCCAUUCUUUCACCUCUCCUCACUAUUUCCCCUGUUUAAGGGCUCAGCAUGUUUGAGUGUUUCUGUUAGUACCUUUAUCAGUUUUAAGGAAUAUUCAAAGCAAAGAUAAAUGCACAUUUAUGAAGAGUAGCUAUUCUGAUCACAGUGUGUCCUGAUUGACCAAUUUAUUACACAUUUUGCAUAUUUACUGAGCCAAUCACAUUGCAGCAGCUCAGUGCUGUGAGACGUAACAUUUUCACAAUGUUUGAAUCUAUAUUUCACACACAUGUGCAAAAAACAAACAUUUGGGAUCAGAGGGCGGGGCUUACUUUGUGUGUCUAACAAAAAAGAAAACACAUAGGUCACAUCAGUCAAGGCAACAAUGAAGGAAACAUCUCUGCUCUCUACACCUCCACCUGCAGCCACAGCUCCAUCUGCAGCCACCUCUGCAUUGGCCUCUCUGGAUUUUUACUCUCUUCUCCCCAUGGUGGUGACUGCUGCGUUGGUCUGUCUCGUGGUUGUAGUGGUGUUAAUGUUUCUUUUGAUGGAACAAACCAGUCACAGUCAACUUGAAGAGAGGACAGACAACAUCAUUUAUGGAGAAAUCGUCACCAAAGACAAGCAACACAAAUCAGCUAAAAGAGAGUUUCCAAGAGAGCCAGACGUCAUCUACUCUGAAGUGAAGCAUUUCACCAGUCCAGCCACUGAGAUCCAGCUGCAGGUCUCUCACAGUCCUCAAAGCACCUGAUGAAGAUUUUUAUGUGAAGAACCUGCAAAAACAAAGAAAUAAACAAAUGUGCCUUCAGCAACAUGUAGUUAAGCGAGAAUAUAACUAAUAUAUUAAUCUAAUGCUGUGUAUUUAAUGCUAUUUAUAUAUUUUAUUUCUAAAUGUGGGGCCCUGCUGGUGUCUUCACAGCAGUAAUUUGGUUUCUCUGCAGGAUCAGUAAACUUUAGUCUCCCUUGCUGUUCUUCUCAUGUGGCUUUGUGAGUUUCAUAAAGACGUCUGAGAGGAAACUAUGAAUAGUUACGGCCAACAGAUACACACCUCUGUUUGGAGCAGAUAACAAAGAAAGAAACAAUCAAAACUUGACUUCAACUGCAGACUAAAGCAGGAAUCAUUCAAAGCUGGAAAAUAAAGACUGAGAACAAAGUGUGUGAGUUUGAAUAACUUUGAUUUGAAGAAAUUAAAUAUUAAAUAUGUGAGACUUUAUUUUCAGGUCAUUUGCGGCUUGUCUAGAGUCCUCGCUUGUUGUUGUUUUUACUGUAACAUACUAAACAUGCGCUUUUUCAGUCCAAAGGUUUUCAAAUUGGGGUUUCCAAACAGGCAGAACAACCCUAACCUUGUAUGAGUUGCCAAAGACCUGAUAGCUGUGAGGGGGUAAAACUGAUCAAGUGGGGACAAAAAGAGAAAUGCUUCUUCACAUCUGUCUUUAGUUCUUUUAAGCUAUGUAUUGGUGCUGUUUAUUCAGUUUAUCCUACUGUAAUAAAUGCUCACUUGCAGGAGUCAUGUGUUUGUAGAAAAAUGAGCUGUAAUGUGUUCUGGGAGGAGUGAAAUGCAGUUCAUGAAUGUGAUAUUUGCCUGUAAGCUUUAUACAACUGUGUCCUUCUGUUUAAGUGUGAAAUAAAAUGAAUAUGAUGAUAAAGU
ensembl:lncRNA